CGCGUAGGCGGCUGGACAAGUCGGAUGUGAAAUUCUGGAGCUUAACUCCAGCGCGGCAUCCGAAACUGUUUAGCUUGAGGGUAGGCGGAGAAAACGGAAUUCCACGUGUAGCGGUGAAAUGCGUAGAUAUGUGGAAGAACACCGGUGGCGAAAGCGGUUUUCUAGCUUAUUCCUGACGCUGAGGCGCGAAAGCAAGGGGAGCAAACAGGAUUAGAUACCCUGGUAGUCC
rnacentral:rRNA from 1 species